rnacentral:misc_RNA from 1 species
GUACCCUCAAGCCUAGCUUGGUGUUGGGUGUUUGUCUCGCCUCUGCGUGUAGACUCGCCUCAAAACAAUUGUCAGCCGGCGUAUUGAUUUCGGAGCGCAGUACAUCUCGCGCUUUGCACUCAUAACGACGACGUCCAAAAGUACAUUUUUACAC